CUUUUAUGCAGUUGCUGGAUUCCCGAAUGUAAUUGGCUGCAUAGAUGGAACACACAUCCGCAUUCAGGCACCUCAUGAUGAUGAAGCUUCAUAUGUCAAUCGGAAAGGCUUUCACAGCAUAAAUGUCCAAGCUGUCUGUGAUCAUCAAGGGAAAUUUACAAGUGUCAAUGCCAGUUGGCCAGGGUCAUGCCAUGACAGCCACAUCUUCAGGACGUCGGGUCUCUGUGCAAAGCUGGAGCGGGAGCAUACAAACUUUGCAGAUGGUGUGCUGUUAGGAGAUAGUGGUUACCAAUGCAAAGUGUAUAUGAUGACUCCUUUCCUGGCGACGGAUUCGGUGGCAAAGGAAAGGUAUCAGCAGGCCCAAACCCGGACCUCAAAGAAUAUGCAAAAAUAUAUGCUUGUGUAAUGUUGGCAACUAGGCAAGGAAAAUAAAACGUAAAACAUUACUCGUAAAAUAUGUACAUACUGACACAAUCCAGAACGGCAAAAUCAAUUUAUUUAAAAACAUACUUUCAAAUAAAGUAGACGCCAUGUAACAUUAAACACUGUUUAUGUUGUUACAAAUAUUUUACUUUUUACUUUUUGUGUGUCUCCAUUUAAAAACAAACAUUAGGCUUGUGUGCUCAAUUCGAAUUGUUCUCCAGAUUGUGUGUGCGUGUAUUUCGGAGUUUAUGAGGCCCUUCAGCGUCUAAAGCUGCAUUUUUAGAUGCCCUGGGGUGUGCCCCAGUACUCCUACCGUAUUAAUUUAAUUCUCUCACUCAAUUGUGGACGACUUUGGUUUUGAAUUAUACCAGCAUUUUAACGGAAAGUUUUUACUAUUAGUGUGAUAUUGUGCCGUUUGGGUAAGCAUGAGUAUCCGGAGAAAACCGUGCCUGUCCGGUAUGGUGACCACCACAUGCUUCCGGGAAAUAGUCUUGAACCCGGAUCGCUAAGGAGAGAAGCGCGUGUACCAAUCACUACGCUAAGUCGACAGCCACUUUAUGGAUUCACCGAUAAUCAACCCGCUUAAAUAUAAAGUAGUGUCGGUCCGGGGCAACCGGUACUUUUAAAGCCGGGAUCUACACUUGUGGCCAUAUGAAGGUCAAACGGGGAUGAAAGAAACCCUUCGUGAGUUGAAACUGCAGCUUCUUGACAUGCUGCCCUUAGCUCUUAUUGUAAACACAAGUCAAGCGUCCAAUGAUUGGAGUACAUAUGAUUACUACUAUCUUAACCAAGGUCCAUUUGCUAGUGCACAAGAUCUCCUACAGGCAUACAACACAGGUUCCAUAAGGAAAAAAAAAAUUCCGCCUGGAUACAGAGACACGGUUGCAAAGAGGUACUAUACCGGUCAGGAGGAUUCCAAACCGCUACGAGCCAACGCAUACAUGCCUCCGCCCGAACAUACGAGCCGAAAGGUCCUAGGUCAAUGUCAUACUGUCGGCUGGAUGGGUUGGUCCUUUGAUGUCACAACGAAAAUGUUGCGUGGUCCGGCACUGUUUAAUGUGUAGUUCAAGAAUCAAAGUGUUUCGUAUAAAAUAUCUCUCAAUGAAAUUGCACUGAUAUAAGGAAGUGACUCGUUCGAAAGGGAAGAUGUGUUCUUUACUGAUGCUAUCUAUGGGAUCGGAUUUUAUUCAGAGACAAUGCCAGGUGUAGACUGUCCUGAAUAUGGUCACCUUCUGGAUACGAGCUAUUACAAUGCACAACCAGGGCAAGCCGUUAUAACCAAAUCGUUAUGUAUUUUCGAGAGUGAUGUCGAGGGACCACUCUAGCGUCAUAAGGCCAAUUGGUACCAGUCUUGCCUAAGAGAUUCUUGCCUCGUUGUUCGGAUUGUUUCAUUUCAAACUAAACGACCAGCUCGCUACAAAAAUGAAAGCAACUGGACACAUUCAGACGUCAAAUGGGGAUGCGAUUUUCCGAAUCACGGAAAUCUUAGUAUUGAUGAUAGCCCGAGUGCAAGGGAUCCUUUUGGUUAUCGGAUCGGAGAUUUUUCACAUGAAUUAUUAAUGAUCAUAUGUUCGACGUCAAAGUUUACCUUUCUGUUGUGGUUAUUUCUAAUAUCCUGUAUGUGUCAAUAGUAAUUUGAUGCCUUAACUUGGAAGUUACCUUGAAAGAUUAACUGUUUUUGGUGGGGGUUGUUCUAUUGUAUAGGGCUUUUGUUGAAAUAAUGCUUCAAAAAAAACUUUUCUACGGUUGAUCCAUUCGAUAGCGAUUUAUUUUCUUAGAAGUAGCGAGACGGUAUGUUUUGGAUUGAAGUUUAUGGAAAAGGACAUAUCAAUCGUAAAAAUAAUACAAGGUUCACAUAUAUUAAAACGUCGGAAAGGCAAGAAAAAACGUUGAAAUUUGUCAAUUAUAUUAUUAGAUCAUGUUAUAAUGGGACACUGUGGGACUCGGUUUUAGUUUAAUAUAACCUUAAACCUUAUGCAAAGAAAACUGAACAUGUGAUAAUGUUAUAGUUAUCGCAAAUCCCGUUUACUCGUGACACUAUUUUCUUACAUUUAACUAAGAUUGAUUUGUCUUUACAUUUGUCAUAAGCAAAUGAACCGGCAUUUAAAAAAAGUGUAAACAUGUAAACUUAAUGCAGGAAAUGCAAAUAUUUGUAAAACAUUCCAUAUAGAAAUCUUAAUGAUUUUUUUCUCACUUGAGGAAUAAUUUAAUUGGUAAUUUAACAUAAUCUUAAGCCGUGAUUUUUAAAUUAAAGACUAAUACAAUUUACGUUGAGACAGGGUUGAUGAUUAAAUAAAGAAAUACGUCUUUUUAAUACAUCUUAUUAAUAAAACUGAUAGUGAUAAGUUACAUAGCUCUUAAUCCCUCGCCUACAUAAUAUAUAAUCCUAUAAUGCAUACGCUAUGUUAAAUAUGAAGGGAAUAGCAAUAAUUGAACAUCUUUAUAGUACUAUAAAUAACGCAAAAUUAUGUAGUAUUAACAUGCUUUCUUGUAUCUCGUUUUGAGCUUUUUUUAUUAUUUUAAUACAGAUCAAUAAAGUAUGGAAGGAGAAUAAUCCUUAAAAGGCAACAUGUAUACAUACACGGGUAUGCGAGGAGUAUAGCGUUUCAACGAAUAAUAGCACGUGCGGAUAAACUACUAUGGCAUAUAAUAUAACUUUCAUUUAAAUAGCUGUUAACUAGUUAUUUGCCAAAUUUAUUAUGGAUCAUCGCCUUGAAGUAUUCGUCUGCUAGGUUUAAUGGCCUUAAUCCGAUUGUUUAAACGCAUUUCAAAGCGUUUCGAGGAAAGCAGAUAAACGCAACAGGGCAGAAUUCCAGUAAAAUAGGAUUGCAAAAAUAAACUGUCCAAAAGUCGAGAGCUAUUAUUAAUGUAGGAAAACCCAUAUUUUAAAUUUGGAAUCAGGCAAAAACAUUUUCGCUAGAAACGAAACUUUUCCCUCAAACAAUGAGUUUGCUUAGCAAUAAUACUGUUACAUAAGAAGGAAACCAAAUAUAACUCAAAUAUAACAAAUUCAGUGGCCUAAUCCUUAUAUAUGCAUAUGUCAUUAUAUGAUUUUGAAAUGUCCAUAUUUUUAUUCGCUGACGAUAAAGCAUUAGAAUCGGAUAUUGUUUCUGCAUUGGAGCAACGACUGAACUAUUUGCAGUUACGUAUGUAUAUGCAACUAUUGCACUGAAUAUAAUUUAGAAGUUUUUUUUUAAAUAAUUUUUAAACAAUUCAUCCUCUAGAAAAUCAUGUAAAUUUGUUUAAUAUAUACAAGUGCUAAAAAUGUUUAUAAAAGCAAAACGCAUGUUUCGCUGCUUUUCUAAGAUGAGUGCCUGGCCAUGCCCUUUUAUUGUUAUUUUAAGUUAGUUCAUAUGUUUUUAUGCAUUUUUUAUUUGAUAACAUUUCCUGGUUAGUUAUACAAAUGGGUAUUUUCUGAGCAACAUUUUUCCUCUCUAGCAUUUGGUUUUGUUUGGAAUAAAAAAUACGUCGUAAAAACAACACUUGUUUAUGCCACCGGUAGGGUGUCACGGAAUAGUCGCACUAUCCGUCCGUAUGUCCGUACGUCCCUCGGCAUCCAGGUCAGAUGUUUUUCCCCAAAACGCUUUAAGUUAUAUUAUUAUUGACUAUGUAACGGGCAUAGGACUUAACAUUUUUCUGAAAAAUAUUAUUCUUUUGGAAUUUAUUUAUAAAAGCUUGCAUAUAUUGAACAGAUUAGUUGUGCUUGAGUCUACCUUUAUGACUUAAAGAUCAAGUUUGCUUUUUUCCGGUUAAUUGAUAUCUGACGAUGUUACGGGCAAGGGAAUUUUCUUUAAAAUAAAACUUUUCCGGAAUUAUUUCCGAAACAAUUUCAGAAACGUAUCUAUUUUAGGUGUGUGGGUCUUCCUACAUGACUUACGAAACAAGUUAGAGUUUCGUUCCGGUCCUUCGAUUUUUAGUAAAUUACGGACCUGGGACUUAACCAUUUCUCUAAAAUAGCUUCAAAGUGCAGUUGGGAUGGGGGUUGCAUUGUGUACAAAAACACAGCUAUUGUUGUUUCAAUAUUUACAAGGCUCUAAAAUGUAUUUUUAUACAGUGUUGAUCUCCAAAUUACAAUGCUUUUUUCUAAUUGAGUUAUAAACGUAGGGUUUUAAGAUGAUUAGACGAUUUGUCUUUGUUCAUUUAGACACGCGUAUGUCUGUCUCAGAACAGCAACCGAUCAACCAAUGAUUGAACAAGGCAGAUAUAAUCUAGAUUAAAAUAAAAGACUAUGCCAAAUGUGAAAAUCAGUUGCUGAAAACGGAGGUUGUCUUGCUGAUGUCUUUCAUAUGCAUAAAGUUUAUUACCAAACUGAAUUACGUGAUGAAAACGUUCUAAGAAAAAACGGAAUAUGUUGCGUAUAUCACAAGCUGUCUGGCUUCGCCACAAACGAGUUUUACUUUGUUCACAAUAACAUGUAUUGGUUUACUUUAUUGUUUACAUAUUGAUUUAUGUGUAUUUUGUAGCAAGGGUCGGUGGACCAAAAAAGCAAA